GUUCUAUGUUCAGAAAUCUGAGUCUGGCUGUGUUACAUGUAACCUCAGAUAUCUUGCAAUGCUCAUACUUAACUAUCCAGAGCAGCAUUAUCUCUUUCAAUGCAGGUGAAUGGUACCUAUCCCAGUGAAUAAAUGGCCCCUUUAUAUUGAUAGGUACAAUGGCUUAAAAAGGGACACUAAGCACCCAGACCACUUCAGCUCAUUG